rnacentral:rRNA from 1 species
AUUGAACGCUGGCGGCAGGCUUAACACCUGCAAGUCGAGCGAGCGGCGGACGGGUGAGUAAUGUCUGGGAAACUGCCUGCUGGCGGGGGAUAACUACUGGAAACGGUAGCUAAUACCGCAUACCAUCAGAUGUGCCCAGAUGGGAUUAGCUAGUAGGUGGGGUAAUGGCUCACCUGGGCGACGAUCCCUAGCUGGUCUGAGAGGAUGACCAGCAACACUGGAACUGAGCCACGGUCCAGACUCCUACGGAAGGCAGCAGUGGGUAAUAUUGCACAAUGGGCGCAAGCCUGAUGCAGCCAUGCCGCUUGUAUGAAGAAGGCCCUAGGGUUGUAAAGUACUUUCAGUCGGGAGGCGUUACCGACAGAAGAAGCACCGGCUAACUCCGUGCCAGCAGCCGCGGUAAUUC